CGAGAUGUAAACAAACACAUGAGUGAAGAGAGACCAUGCAUGUUAAGAGAACCUUAACAGGUUUGAAAUGGUAUGUGUAUGGCAAAUAUGUGUAUGCUAUACUUUGCUCAGUUGAGGCUGACGUCCACUCCCAAGUUCAUCCCUAAUCCCAAAUUUAGCAGUGUUCAAAAAUCUGGUUCAGAUGUAACCAUGUCUAGGUAUAAUAAGAAGCAACGGCUGGAAGCAAUGGUUCUUAUGUUCAGGCUUUGACCAGUAGCCCUAAACCACAAAAGAGGAGAGCUGAUAAAGAGGCAAAAAAGCUGAAAAUGUGAGAAGAUGAGGAUGUGUUGGAAGCACAAUACUGUACAUUGUUGCUAACUACAAAAUAUGGGAUGUGUUGGAAGCAGAAGUUGUAGAUAAAAGAGAAAAAAAGCUGAAUGGCAAUGUAAUGGAGAAGGAAGGGGUUGUUAGAGCUAUGGAUGUCCUGAAAAACAAAGGAAUCAAUGUAACAGAAGUUCUCACAGAUGCCCAAGUUGCACACUUAGGCAAUACAUGCCAUUUAGGUCUUACUAUUAUAAUUAGAAAGCAAAUUCAUAAUGUGAAAUGUGAAUACAGUACAUGUCAUGUAUGUGAUUAUUAAGUUACAAAUUUUUGAUAUAUAUCCAUUUAAUUUUAUGUAAACUCAAUAUUCCAGGAAAAAAUUGAACUGGGAUAAAACAUUUAUGGGUUAUUUAGCAUGGGGCAAAAAAUCUUGGAAAGAAGAAUCUGAUAUCACUGUGAGUAGAUAUGCAUCGAUCUAGCAUGAUCGACCCAUCUCCGAGGGGAUUCUGCCUAAGUUGCAUUCAGAUAAAGGACAUAAAGUGACCUAGAUGUCUGGCAUGUCUACUGAAACAACUAAAUGAUUGUUAAUUACUUCCUAACAGCUUUGGUAGGGGUGCCAGACAUCAGAGCCACUUAAGCAGAGAUAGGUUGAUCCUGCUAGAUUGGUCUAGGUAUGG